GACGAACGCUGGCGGCGUGCUUAACACAUGCCAGUCGAACGGAAGGGCCCUGCUUUUGUGGGGUGCUCGAGUGGCGAACGGGUGUGUAACACGUGAGUAACCUGCACUUGACUUUGGGAUAACUUCAGGAAACUGGGGCUAAUACCGGAUAGGAGCUCCUGCUGCAUGGUGGGGGUUGGAAAGUUUCGGCGGUUGGGGAUGGACUCGCGGCUUAUCAGCUUGUUGGUGGGGUAGGGGUUUACCAAGGCUUUGACGGGUAGCCGGCCUGAGAGGGUGACCGGCCUCCAGGGGCCUGAGAGACGGACCAGACUCCUACGGGAGGCAGCAGGGGGGAAUAUUGCACAACGGGGGGAAGCCUGAGGCAGCAACGCCGCGUGCGGGAUGACGGCCUUCGGGUUGUAAACCGCUGUCGCCGGUGACGAAGCGUGAGUGACGGUAAUGGGUAAAGAAGCACCGGCUAACUACGUG
rnacentral:rRNA from 1 species